rnacentral:rRNA from 1 species
CGGGGUGCACCAGGCGCGAAACCUCUGCAAUGCGCGAAAGCGUGACAGGGGAAGUCUGAGUGGCGGAAACUUAUUUUCCGUCUUUUGCCAAGUGUAAACAGCUUGGAGAAUAAGGGUGUGGGCAACACUGGUGGCACCCGCCGCGGUAACACCAGCGCCUCGAGUGGUACCCACUAAUAUUGGGCCUAAGGCGUCCGUACCUGGACCUCUAACUCCGCUGUGAAAUGUUGGGGCUCAUCCCUAACUCUUGCAAUGUAUACUGUUGGUCUUGGCAACGGGAGAUGAUCGGGGUACUUCGCGGGGUAGGGGAAAAAUCCUUUGCACCCUGGAGAAGACCACCAGUGGAAAACGCCCCAAUCCAAAACAUGUCCGACGGUGAGGGACAAACUCUGGGGGAGCAAACGAUUAUUAUAUACCCCGGUACUCCCACCUGUAAAUGAUGCACACUGUGUUGUUACACAUGAGUAAUCAUGUGUAGUGCUAUAGCAUACGUGUUAAGUCUGCCCCCUGAAGAGUACCAUCGCAGCAUUUACUCUUAAGAGAAUUGGCGGGAGAGCAC